rnacentral:rRNA from 1 species
UACGAAAGGGGGCUAGCGUUGUUCGGAAUACUGGGCGUAAAGCGUGCGCAGGCGGUGAUGUAAGACCGAUGUGAAAUCCCCCGGGCUUAACCUGGGAACUGCAUUGGUGACUGCAUUGCUGGAGUAUGGCAGAGGGGGGUGGAAUUCCACGUGUAGCAGUGAAAUGCGUAGAGAUGUGGAGGAACACCGAUGGCGAAGGCAGCCCCCUGGGCCAAUGACGUGACGCCUCGAUGCACGAAAGCCGUGGGGAGCAA